rnacentral:tRNA from 1 species
UGAGGUGUGGCUCAGUGGUGGAGCCCUUGCCUGGCAUGCAGGAGUCCUGGGUUCCAGCCCAGCCCAGCAC